rnacentral:rRNA from 1 species
UGGGGGAUAUUGCACAAUGGGGGAAACCCUGAUGCAGCAACGCCGCGUGAGGGAAGAAGGUUUUCGGAUUGUAAACCUCUGUCCUAGUUGAAGAAGAAUGACGGUAGACUGGGAGGAAGCUCCGGCUAACUACGUGCCAGCAGCCGCGGUAAUACGUAGGGAGCGAGCGUUGUCCGGAAUUACUGGGUGUAAAGGGUGAGUAGGCGGCUAGACAAGUCAGACGUGAAAUACAUAGGCUUAACCUGUGGACUGCGUUUGAAACUGUAGAGCUUGAGUAAAGUAGAGGCAAGCGGAAUUCCCGGUGUAGCGGUGAAAUGCGUAGAGAUCGGGAGGAACACCAGUGGCGAAGGCGGCUUGCUGGGCUUUUAACUGACGCUGAGUCACGAAAGCAUGGGUAGCAAACAGG